rnacentral:rRNA from 1 species
GCAAGUCGAGCGACAAAGGGGCUUCGGCCCUGAGUAGAGCGGCGGACGGGUGCGUAACACGUGGAUAAUCUGCCUCGUGGCGGGGGAUAACAGUCCGAAAGGACUGCUAAUACCGCAUGUCAGGUCGGAAACCCUGGUUUCUGACGAAAAAAGAGGGGCGCCCCGGCAAGGGGGCUCUCACCACGAGAUGAGUCCGCGGCCCAUCAGCUAGUUGGCGGUGUAAUAGACCACCAAGGCUAAGACGGGUAGCUGGUCUGAGAGGAUGACCAGCCACACUGGGACUGAGACACGGCCCAGACUCCUACGGGAGGCAGCAGUGGGGAAUAUUGGACAAUGGGCGAAAGCCUGAUCCAGCCAUGCCGCGUGAGUGAUGAAGGUCUUCGGAUCGUAAAGCUCUGUGGGAAGGGACGAAAAAGCCUAACCUAAUACGUUAGGUCUUGACGGUACCUUCUUAGCAAGCACCGGCUAACUCCGUGCCAGCAGCCGCGGUAAUACGGAGGGUGCAAACGUUGCUCGGAAUUAUUGGGCGUAAA